rnacentral:rRNA from 1 species
UACGAAGGGGGCUAGCGUUGCUCGGAAUUACUGGGCGUAAAGGGCGCGUAGGCGGACAGUUUAGUCAGAGGUGAAAGCCCAGGGCUCAACCUUGGAAUUGCCUUUGAUACUGGCUGUCUUGAGUUCGGGAGAGGUGAGUGGAAUUCCGAGUGUAGAGGUGAAAUUCGUAGAUAUUCGGAAGAACACCAGUGGCGAAGGCGACUUACUGGACACAUAUUGACGCUGAGGUGCGAAAGCGUGGGGAGCAAACAGG